rnacentral:rRNA from 1 species
UACGUAGGGGCCGAGCGUUGUCCGGAGUUACUGGGCGUAAAGCGCGCGCAGGCGGCGCAUCGCGCCCGGCGUGAAAGCCCCCGGCUCAACCGGGGAGGGUCGUCGGGGACGGGUGCGCUUGAGGACGGCAGGGGCAGGUGGAAUUCCCGGUGUAGUGGUGAAAUGCGGUAGAGAUCGGGAGGAACACCCGUGGCGAAGGCGGCCUGCUGGGCCGAUCCUGACGCUGAGGCGCGAAGGCGUGGGGAGCGAACAGGAU